rnacentral:rRNA from 1 species
CAGCCGCACGGGAAUACGAAGGGGGCUAGCGUUGUUCGGAAUUACUGGGCGUAAAGCGCACGUAGGCGGAUAUUUAAGUCAGGGGUGAAAUCCCAGAGCUCAACUCUGGAACUGCCUUUGAUACUGGGUAUCUUGAGUAUGGAAGAGGUGAGUGGAAUUCCGAGUGUAGAGGUGAAAUUCGUAGAUAUUCGGAGGAACACCAGUGGCGAAGGCGGCUCACUGGUCCAUUACUGACGCUGAGGUGCGAAAGCGUGGGGAGCAAACAGGAUUAGAUACCCCAGUAGUCCCUGUCUCUUAUACC